rnacentral:rRNA from 1 species
GACGAACGCUGGCGGCGUGCUUAACACAUGCAAGUCGAACGGAAAGGCCCUGCUUUUGUGGGGUGCUCGAGUGGCGAACGGGUGAGUAACACGUGAGUAACCUGCCCUUGACUUUGGGAUAACUUCAGGAAACUGGGGCUAAUACCGGAUAGGAGCUCCUGCUGCAUGGUGGGGGUUGGAAAGUUUCGGCGGUUGGGGAUGGACUCGCGGCUUAUCAGCUUGUUGGUGGGGUAGUGGCUUACCAAGGCUUUGACGGGUAGCCGGCCUGAGAGGGUGACCGGCCAAAAUGGGAAUGAGGAAAGGGCCAGAAUCCUAAGGGAGGGAGGAGGGGGGAAUAUUGGAAAAUGGGGGGAAGCCUGAAGCAGCAACGCCGGGGGCGGGAUGACGGCCUUCGGGUUGUAAACCGCUUUCGCCUGUGACGAAGCGUGAGUGACGGUAAUGGGUAAAGAAGCACCGGCUAACUACGUG